rnacentral:rRNA from 1 species
ACAGAGGUCCCAAGCGUUGUCCGGAAUCAUUGGGCGUAAAGCGCGCGUAGGCGGCCCGGUAAGUCCGUUGUGAAAGUCAAAGGCUCAACCUUUGAACGCCGAUGGAUACUGCCGGGCUAGAGUCCGGAAGAGGCGAGUGGAAUUCCUGGUGUAGCGGUGAAAUGCGUAGAUAUCAGGAGGAACACCCGAGGCGAAGGCGGCUCUCUGGGUCGUACCUGACGCUGAGGCGCGAAAGCGUGGGGAGCGAACGGGA